CUGGGAAAUAGUGAGGCAGCCACAAAACAAAGAACCCAUUAAAAAAAGACCGUCAAACACCCAAUGUGUAAAAUAAAAGAAAAAAAUCAAUGCAAACAAUAAAAAAUCGUUGGGUAUAAUGUUGUGGCCUCGGCGGGAGUUAGAAGAUGGCAGUGCGCCGCGUGUGCACAGCUCUCCGGUGAAAAUGAUAUCGUAUCCAUUAAAUAGGGGCCGUGGACAAUUCUGAUUUGAUGGAGAAUGGACGGGAAAGCACAGAGGAACAUUGGAGAAAUUUCUGAAACGCCGUUCGCUGCUAUCGUUACUGUGUGGUCGUGAAUCUUUUGGAGGGUAGGCCUCAAAUCCCCGGACUUGCCUGCUUUUGGCGACUGAGAAGGAGGUCGAAUAGUUCAGACAGAGAUGGCGCUCAGUACUCGGUGUCGGAGAGCUGAUCAGAGCUUGAAGUUUUUGGAUGACUCAGAGUCGGAUUGUGGUCGGGCAUGGCAGGGAGAGUUUUUCUUCCUUUUCCCGUCUGCGUGAGGUGUGCAACAUUUGAGAA